UUGACAGAAGAUAGAGAGCACAGAUGGAUGAUUUGCAAUCAAUAUGCAUCUCACUCCUUUGUGCUCUCUAUGCUUCUGUCAU
rnacentral:pre_miRNA from 1 species